AAGGUGAGUACAAUUGCAUUAACC
rnacentral:siRNA from 1 species